rnacentral:misc_RNA from 1 species
CUGUGUUCAAACACGCACUCUCUCACAAUUUUGUUGUUCAACUGACAGCACUCUCUUUGUUACUUCAGAACAGCUGUCUAGCUAUUUAACGUGCAAUUUUAUAAAUAGUUUAUCGGCCAAAAAUUUUGCUGCAAUUUAUUUUAAAUAAAAUAAAAUUUAUAAACUAAAAAAUGACUACACUACGGCCAUUCACCUGCGAUGAUCUUUUCAAAUUCAAUAAUGUCAAUUUCGAUCCAUUAACUGAGACUUAUGGUCUCUCGUUUUAUACACAGUAUUUGGCUAGAUGGCCUGAGUAUUUUCAGUUGGCAGAAUCGCCGAGUGGUCAAAUAAUGGGUUACAUUAUGGGUAAAGUAGAAGGUCAUAUGGAAAACUGGCAUGGACACGUAACUGCAUUGACUGUUUCACCUGAUUACAGACGUCUCGGCUUGGCGGCACUGCUGAUGAAUUUCCUGGAGGAUGUGUCGGAAAAGAAACGUGCGUACUUUGUUGAUCUAUUUGUGCGUAAGAGCAAUCAGGUGGCUAUCAAUAUGUACCAAAAUCUAGGCUAUAUCAUAUAUCGUACUAUACUCGAUUAUUAUGCGGGCGAUCAUGAUGAAGACGCAUAUGACAUGCGAAAGGCGCUAUCGCGUGAUGUUGAGAAGAAAUCUAUAAUACCAUAUACACAUCCGGUACGGUUGGAAGAUUUAGAUACCAAUUGAGUUUAAAUUUGCAUAUUUCGUUGCUGCUUGCCAACAUAAUAACACAUUAUUACAAGCGAAAGUCGAACGAAUAACUAUUACAUACAUUUAUACAUGCUGCAUACAUACUUCUAUGCAAUAAAAAAUUGUCAAAAUACAUUUUAUGUACUUUUUGUAAUGUGGCUAAUUUGUUAUUGGUGUUAAUAGCUUUUGCGUUUCAGGCUGUAUUGCACUAAUCAUUUGAAAGAUUGUUUUACUGUAAUAUUUCUUAAAUAUUGAAAUAUUAAAAAAUAUUAAUUUCAUAAUAUGUAAUGUAAUUAAUUAUUGACAAAAAAGAAAAAAAAAACAAAUGUUACAUCUAUAAAGUACACCAAUCAAUGAACGGUAUAAACUCCGUGAACGUUGUUUGAUACUUUCCAGGAUAUAAAUUGUAUCACACCCUAACAUAAUUUUAUAACAUAAGAUAACAACACAGCAAUUACAUCAAGCAAAUCAAAUUCCUUCCCAAACAACCUGAACUUUAACUAAAUUAAGCUACGUAAAAUCCGAAAUUAUGAUGUUAAAAUUUUUUAUUUAAUUAUUUUACUUUUGUGACAGAAAUCAUAGAUAAAAUCAGAAGAAAUAUAUUUUCUUGCACUUUUUAACUUAUCAAAAGCA